UAACCUCCUCAGGCUGGCAGGGCCCCAUGGUGGGCUGGGCGAGUACCUCUUUGAAAGGCUCACCCUCAAGCACGACUAGGAGG
rnacentral:pre_miRNA from 1 species